rnacentral:rRNA from 1 species
UACGUAGGGUGCAAGCGUUAUCCGGAAUUAUUGGGCGUAAAGAGCUCGUAGGCGGUUUGUCGCGUCUGCUGUGAAAACUGGGGGCUCAACCCCCCAGCCUGCAGUGGGUACGGGCAGACUAGAGUGCGGUAGGGGGAGAUUGGAAUUCCUGGUGUAGCGGUGGAAUGCGCAGAUAUCAGGAGGAACACCGAUGGCGAAGGCAGAUCUCUGGGCCGUAACUGACGCUGAGGAGCGAAAGCGUGGGGAGCGAACAGG